rnacentral:hammerhead_ribozyme from 1 species
AUCCAGUUGAUGAGUCCCAAACAGGACGAAACGCGCGUCCUGAAU